CGACCGGCGCACGGGUGAGUAACGCGUAUGCAACCUACCUAUCAGGAGGGGAUAACCCGGCGAAAGUCGGACUAAUACCGCAUAAAACAGGGGUUCCACAUGGAAAUAUUUGUUAAAGAAUUAUCGCUGAUAGAUGGGCACGCGUUCCAUUAGAUAGUUGGUGAGGUAACGGCUCACCAAGUCCACGAUGGAUAGGGGUUCUGAGAGGAAGGUCCCCCACACUGGUACUGAGACACGGACCAG
rnacentral:rRNA from 1 species